CCUACGGGAGGCAGCAGUGAGGAAUAUUGGUCAAUGGACGAGAGUCUGAACCAGCCAAGUAGCGUGAAGGAUGACUGCCCUAUGGGUUGUAAACUUCUUUUAUAAAGGAAUAAAACGAGGCACGUGUGCCUUUUUGCAUGUACUUUAUGAAUAAGGAUCGGCUAACUCCGUGCCAGCAGCCGCGGUAAUACGGAGGAACCGAGCGUUAUCCGGAUUUAUUGGGUUUAAAGGGAGCGUAGAUGGGUUGUUAAGUCAGUUGUGAAAGUUUGCGGCUCAACAGUAAAAUUGCAAUUGAUACUGGCAGUCGUGAGUACAGUUGAGGUAGGCGGAAUUCGUGGUGUAGCGGUGAAAUGCUUAGAUAUCACGAAGAACCCCGAUUGCGAAGGCAGCUUACUAAACUGUGACUGACAUUGAUGCUCGAAAGUGUGGGUAUCAAACAGGAUUAGAUACCCUAGUAGUC
rnacentral:rRNA from 1 species